rnacentral:rRNA from 1 species
UACGUAGGGCGCAAGCGUUAUCCGGAAUUAUUGGGCGUAAAGAGCUCGUAGGCGGUUUGUCGCGUCGGCCGUGAAAUCUCCACGCUUAACGUGGAGCGUGCGGUCGAUACGGGCAGACUUGAGUUCGGCAGGGGAGACUGGAAUUCCUGGUGUAGCGGUGAAAUGCGCAGAUAUCAGGAGGAACACCGGUGGCGAAGGCGGGUCUCUGGGCCGAUACUGACGCUGAGGAGCGAAAGCGUGGGGAGCGAACAGG